CCUACGGGGUGCAGCAGUGGGGAAUAUUGCGCAAUGAGCGAAAGCCUGACGCAGCGACGCCGCGUGCAGGAUGAAGGUCUUCGGAUCGUAAACCUCUGUCAGCAGGGAAGAACGGUCACUGUACUAAUCAGCAGUGAAUUGACGGUACCUGCUAAGGAAGCACCGGCUAACUCCGUGCCAGCAGCCGCGGUAAUACGGAGGGUGCGAGCGUUAAUCGGAAUUAAUGGGCGUAAAGCGCUCGUAGGCGGUAUGUCAAGUCAAGGGUGAAAUCCCCGGGCUCAACGUGGGAACUGCCUUGGAUACUGGCAAACUAGAGUGUGUUAGAGGAUAGUGGAAUUCCAGGUGAAGGGGUGAAAUCCGUAGAUAUCUGGAGGAACACCAGUGGCGAAGGCGACUAUCUGGCACAUAACUGACGCUGAGGAGCGAAAGCGUGGGGAGCAAACAGGAUUAGAUACCCUAGUAGUC
rnacentral:rRNA from 1 species